CCUACGGGUGGCAGCAGUGGGGAAUAUUGGACAAUGGGCGAAAGCCUGAUCCAGCCAUGCCGCGUGUGUGAAGAAGGCCUUCGGGUUGUAAAGCACUUUCAGUGGGGAAGAAAGCCUUGGGGCUAAUACCCUCGAGGAAGGACAUCACCCACAGAAGAAGCACCGGCUAACUCCGUGCCAGCAGCCGCGGUAAUACGGAGUGUGCGAGCGUUAAUCGGAAUUACUGGGCGUAAAGCGCGCGUAGGCGGUCUGAUAAGCCGGUUGUGAAAGCCCCGGGCUCAACCUGGGAACGGCAUCCGGAACUGUCAGGCUAGAGUGCAGGAGAGGAAGGUAGAAUUCCCGGUGUAGCGGUGAAAUGCGUAGAGAUCGGGAGGAAUACCAGUGGCGAAGGCGGCCUUCUGGACUGACACUGACGCUGAGGUGCGAAAGCGUGGGUAGCAAACAGGAUUAGAUACCCUGGUAGUC
rnacentral:rRNA from 1 species